rnacentral:rRNA from 1 species
UACAGAGGGUGCGAGCGUUGUUCGGAAUUAUUGGGCGUAAAGCGCGUGUAGGCGGCCAACUAAGUCGGGUGUGAAAGCCCUCAGCUCAACUGAGGAAGUGCGCCCGAGACUGGAUGGCUUGAGUGCUGGAGAGGGUGGCGGAAUUCCCCAAGUAGAGGUGAAAUUCGUAGAGAUGGGGAGGAACACCGGAGGCGAAGGCGGCCACCUGGACAGUAACUGACGCUGAGACGCGAAAGCGUGGGGAGCAAAC